GCCAGUAGUCAUAUGCUUGUCUUAAAGAUUAAGCCAUGCAUGUCUAAGUAUAAGCAAUUAUACAGCGAAACUGCGAAUGGCUCAUUAAAUCAGUUAUCGUUUAUUUGAUAGUACCUUACUACAUGGAUAACCGUGGUAAUUCUAGAGCUAAUACAUGCUGAAAACCCCGACUUCGGAAGGGGUGUAUUUAUUAGAUUAAAAACCAAUGCCCUUCGGGGCUCACUGGUGAUUCAUGAUAACUUCUCGAAUCGCACGGCCUUGCGCCGGCGAUGGUUCAUUCAAAUUUCUGCCCUAUCAACUUUCGACGGCUGGGUCUUGGCCAGCCGUGGUGACAACGGGUAACGGAGGGUUAGGGCUCGACCCCGGAGAAAACGCCUGAGAAACGGCGUUUACAUCCAAGGAAGGCAGCAGGCGCGCAAAUUACCCAAUGCCGACACGGCGAGGUAGUGACGAGAAAUACUGAUACAGGGCUCUUUUGGGUCUUGUAAUUGGAAUGAGUACAAUUUAAAUCUCUUAACGAGGAACAAUUGGAGGGCAAGUCUGGUGCCAGCAGCCGCGGUAAUUCCAGCUCCAAUAGCGUAUAU
rnacentral:rRNA from 1 species